rnacentral:rRNA from 1 species
GACAGAGGGGGCAAGCGUUGCUCGGAAUUACUGGGCGUAAAGGGCGCGUAGGCGGGAUGGUAAGUCGGUCGUGAAAUCCCUCGGCUCAACCGAGGAACGUCGAUCGAUACUACCGUUCUUGAGGAUUGCAGAGGAGACUGGAAUUCCCGGUGUAGCGGUGAAAUGUGUAGAGAUCGGGAGGAACACCAGUGGCGAAGGCGGGUCUCUGGGCAAUUCCUGACGCUGAGGAGCGAAAGCAUGGGGAGCGAACAGG